UGGACGAAAAAACAACUGUCCAUACCAGUAACAGUCGUUGUACGACUGUCUUAGUCUGUGGAAGACUGAAGAUGACUGUCAAAGAAACUGAUACAGUUGAUUAAUGUCUGUCCCAACACUUUUAUGGGUUGUGAAAAUCAAAAAAUGUUAUCAACAGUCAUUUAAGGACUGUUGCAGUGGUUUACGGGGUUGUCACAGUCAAAUACUAUUUAUUACAGUCUUUCCAAAAGUUGUGGCAGUUGUAUAAUGUUUGUCCCAACCUUUUAAUAGUUGGGACAGUUGAAAUUUGUUUGUGUCAACUUUUCAGACGUUGAUGCAGUCAAAAAAUGUUUGUUACAACGUUUCUAGAGUUUGGACAGUUGUAAAAUGUUUGUUACAACUUUUUAAAGGCUGUUACAGUCAUUAAAUGUUUAUUACAAAUUUUAAAAGGUUGCUACAGUCGUUAAAUGUUUAAAACAAACAUUUCAUAGGUUGUUGCAGUCGACAAAUAUUUUAGCGUCACGGUAGCAACUCAGUGUAAAAAAAAAAUUACGUUUCAACCGGCUCUCAAGAUUUGAUAUAGUUGUGAAAUAGCCCAUAAUUUAUACUAUUAUCAUCUAUUGUGCGGUUGUUGACUUGUUUUGUUUUUUAUUUAUUUAUUUUGCGAUCGUUGUUUGUCUUUUGUCGUUUUCCGUUUAUUGCAAUAGCAUUGUCCGUUUAUUUUUGACAUGUGCGUUUGAUUUCCCUUUAGGUAUCUUUACUUUUUAUUUUAUCUAUUCAGAUUCGUUCAUAACUGGUUUUACAUACCAGAAGCCUUCGUUUAAAAAUAGAGUUUUAAUAUUAUUGCAGAAGAUGCUAAUGAAUUCAUUCAAAUUUAUAUUUGAAAAAUUUUUGAUAACUUCUGAUCGAGGAAUAGAAAAUGUACCGUCGGUGUACCUGAAGUAAAUUUAAAGAAUAUGACUCAGUUACCAAUAUUGUACAGCAUAAUAAAACAGUUUUAAUUUGAAUUACUCUCCAUGAGGGAUAUUUCCGAUGAUAAAAAAAAAAAUAAUUAAAACUGUCAAGUUUCAUUAAAAACGGAAAACAAUUCUUCACCGUGAACGAUUUACCCUCUUUAUUUUCUUGUCGGCAAACUGGACCUGCAGGUCGGCAAACUAUAUUUUACACAGGAAACUACAGAUGUUAGACCACAUGUACAAUAUAAGCCGAGCUGGAAAUUAUAAUCGAUUCAUAUUGGCUUGAGCAUGACUCCUACUUAGAAUAUGAAGCCUGCUACAUGUGCACUUUGAUGCAUAGGAAAUAUAGAUGUCACUGAGUCACUCUUAUAGCUGCAAAUUGUGAAACAGUGGAUUAAUUCAUUAUUUUGUGCUAGUUAUUUAUUGUUUUUGGAAAUAAUGAAUAGCACUUGCAGCAUUAUUCCAUGAUGAUGAUGACUUGUGAUGUUAGGAUUAAAUUGGACAAGAAAAAAAUUGUGCAUUGUACAUGUUGUACAAAUAGGAAACUUACAAAUUGUAUUAAAGGAGGACCACAGUACUGGAUGACUAAAUAACUUGGAUAAUCGUGAUAAUUAUUCAUUUGGUAUAUCAAUAAUGAAUUUGGAAUAACAAGAUUUCAUAGUUUCAGUGCAUAUUAUAGUGCAAUCAUACAUUGUAUCUGAAUUCCAUGAAUACCUUGGAUAAUUAUUCAUUUGAAAUAGCCAUUUGGAAUAAUGAAAAUUCAUAGUUUCAGUGAAUAUUUAUAAUAAUAGUGCAUCAUAUCUGAAUUCAUGAAUACUUUAGUGGAUAAUCAGUCAUUUUAAUAUAAUAACAAUUUGGAUAAUGUGAAUUUCUAGUUUCAGUGAAAUUUACAAAACAGUGUAUGUAUAUCGCAUCUGAAGUUUAUGUUGGCAUUGCAAUUGUUUACUACCACCAGGGUGUGUAAAAAGACCUUAACCACCCAUGAGGGACUCUCGUAGUCCAUCACAAAUGUUUAUUGUCAAAUGACUGCUGGCUGUACUUCAAGUCUGAAUAAAAAUCUAAAUUAGUGCCCAAGCAUAUUAAAAAAAUAAACCAUGUA